GCUCACCUAGGCGACGAUCAUUAGGGGUUCUGAGAGGAAGGUCCCCCACACUGGAACUGAGACACGGUCCAGACUCCUACGGGAGGCUGCAGUGAGGAAUAUUGGUCAAUGGGCGCUAGCCUGAACCAGCCAAGUCGCGUGAAGGAUGACAGAUCUAUGGUUUGUAAACUUCUUUUGCAGGGGAGUAAAGUGCGACACGUGUGUUGUAUUGCAAGUACCCUGCGAAUAAGCAUCGGCUAACUCCGUGCCAGCAGCCGCGGUAAUACGGAGGAUGCAAGCGUUAUCCGGAUUUAUUGGGUUUAAAGGGUGCGUAGGCGGGUUAUCAAGUCAGCGGUGAAAUUUUUCGGCUUAACCGUAAAAUUGCCGUUGAAACUGGUGAUCUUGAGUGCGAGCGAGGUAGGCGGAAUGUGCCGUGUAGCGGUGAAAUGCAUAGAUAUGGCACAGAACUCCGAUUGCGAAGGCAGCUUACUAGUACGCUACUGACGCUGAUGCACGAAGGCGUGGGGAUCAAACAGGAUUAGAUACCCUGGUAGUCCACGCAGUAAACGAUGAUUACUAGCUGUUUGCGAUAUACCGUAAGCGGCCGAGCGAAAGC
rnacentral:rRNA from 1 species